CCGAUAGCGUAUAUUAAAGUUGUUGCAGUUAAAAAGCUCGUAGUUGAAUUUCGGGGUUAGUAGGUUGGUCAUGCCUCUGGUAUGUACUGGUCUCACUGAUUCCUCCUUCCUGAUGAACCUUAAUGCCAUUUAUUUGGUGUUUUGGGGAAUUUGGACUGUUACUUUGAAAAAAUUAGAGUGUUUAAAGCAAGCUAACGCUUGAAUACAUUAGCAUGGAAUAAUGAAAUAGGACGUUCGAUCCUAUUUUGUUGGUUUCUAGGAUUGACGUAAUGAUUAAUAGG
rnacentral:rRNA from 1 species